rnacentral:rRNA from 1 species
UACGUAGGGAGCAAGCGUUGUCCGGAAUCAUUGGGCGUAAAGCGCGCGUAGGUGGCCUCAUAAGUCCGUUGUGAAAGUCAAAGGCUCAACCUUUGAAAGCCGAUGGAUACUGUGAGGCUAGAGUAUGGUAGAGGGUGGUGGAAUUUCCUGUGUAGCGGUGAAAUGCGUAGAUAUAGGAAGGAACACCAGUGGCGAAGGCGACCACCUGGACUGAUACUGACACUGAGGUGCGAAAGCGUGGGGAGCAAACAGG